AUUGAACGCUGGCGGCAUGCCUUACACAUGCAAGUCGAACGGUAACAGGUCUUCGGAUGCUGACGAGUGGCGAACGGGUGCGUAAUACAUCGGAACGUGCCCGAUCGUGGGGGAUAACGAGGCGAAAGCUUUGCUAAUACCGCAUACGAUCUACGGAUGAAAGCGGGGGAUCUUCGGACCUCGCGCGGACGGAGCGGCCGAUGGCAGAUUAGGUAGUUGGAGGGAUAAAAGCUUACCAAGCCGACGAUCUGUAGCUGGUCUGAGAGGAUGAUCAGCCACACUGGGACUGAGACACGGCCCAGACUCCUACGGGAGGCAGCAGUGGGGAAUUUUGGACAAUGGGCGAAAGCCUGAUCCAGCCAUGCCGCGUGCAGGAUGAAGGCCUUUGGGUUGUAAACUGCUUUUGUACGGAACGAAAAGCCUCUUUCUAAUAAAGAGGGGUCAUGACGGUACCGUAAGAAUAAGCACCGGCUAACUACGUG
rnacentral:rRNA from 1 species